rnacentral:rRNA from 1 species
CCUACGGGGGGCAGCAGUGGGGAAUAUUGGGCAAUGGGGGAAACCCUGACCCAGCAACGCCGCGUGAGGGAAGAAGGUUUUCGGAUCGUAAACCUCUGUCCUUGGUGAAGAGAAGAAGACGGUAGCCAAGGAGGAAGCCCCGGCUAACUACGUGCCAGCAGCCGCGGUAAUACGUAGGGGGCAAGCGUUGUCCGGAAUGAUUGGGCGUAAAGGGCGCGUAGGCGGCCUGGUAAGUCUGGAGUGAAAGUCCUUCUUUUAAGGAGGGAAUUGCUUUGGAUACUGCUGGGCUUGAGUGCAGGAGAGGG